UACGAAGGGGGCUAGCGUUGCUCGGAAUCACUGGGCGUAAAGGGCGCGUAGGCGGACUCUUAAGUCGGAGGUGAAAGCCCAGGGCUCAACCCUGGAAUUGCCUUCGAUACUGGGAGUCUCGAGACCGGAAGAGGUAAGUGGAACUGCGAGUGUAGAGGUGAAAUUCGUAGAUAUUCGCAAGAGCACCAGUGGCGAAGGCGGCAUCCUGGACCGGUAUUGACGCUGAGGCGCGAAAGCUAGGGGAGCAAACGGG
rnacentral:rRNA from 1 species